UUGAACGCUGGCGGCAGGCCUAACACAUGCAAGUCGAGCGGAUGAAGGGAGCUUGCUCCUGGAUUCAGCGGCGGACGGGUGAGUAAUGCCUAGGAAUCUGCCUGGUAGUGGGGGAUAACGUCCGGAAACGGGCGCUAAUACCGCAUACGUCCUGAGGGAGAAAGUGGGGGAUCUUCGGACCUCACGCUAUCAGAUGAGCCUAGGUCGGAUUAGCUAGUUGGUGGGGUAAAGGCCUACCAAGGCGACGAUCCGUAACUGGUCUGAGAGGAUGAUCAGUCACACUGGAACUGAGACACGGUCCAGACUCCUACGGGAGGCAGCAGUGGGGAAUAUUGGACAAUGGGCGAAAGCCUGAUCCAGCCAUGCCGCGUGUGUGAAGAAGGUCUUCGGAUUGUAAAGUACUUUAAGUUGGGAGGAAGGGCAGUAAGUUAAUACCUUGCUGUUUUGACGUUACCAACAGAAUAAGCACCGGCUAACUUCGUG
rnacentral:rRNA from 1 species